rnacentral:rRNA from 1 species
AUGGGUGCAAGAAGAGUUCGUCGUAGAACCUCCGCGGUGUGGGAUCACUUUGAUGAAGAAAUAUCUGUGGUGGCCGGUGGCCGAAAGGUGAAUGAAAGGUGCAAAAGGUGCCAGAAGUUAUAUAUCGGAGAAGCCAAGGCAGGAGCCGGCCACCUGGAGAGGCAUGUGGAGGCCCAUGCCAGGACGGAUGCAACGACUCUGUUGAGCUCAACAGCGGUGCAAACUCAGCCCAGGUUCAACCCUGACGGUACAGUACGCAAUUUCACCUACGAUGCUAAUGUUCAGCGAGAAGGUCUAUGCCAUCUUAUUGCUUCUAAUGAUUUACCUUGUGGUCCAAGCAUUGCUGAAGGUGUACUCAAAGUUGUGAACGACUUUGAUCUUGCCAACAAGGUUUUCACCAUAACUUUGGAUAAUGCUUCAGCAAACACUACAUUGACUACAUUUCUUAAGUUGUUCUAUGAUGCAACAAUUACUUUGUCUGGGGUUUAUUACCCGACAUCUUCGUUGAUGGUGCAUACUAUAUUAGACAUUGCUAGUCAUUUGAAAGCAUACGGAGGCGAUGGAUUAUUACUUAAUGUUGUUGCUGACAUGAAAACCAAGUAUUGGCAACAAAUUCCAUUGUUGUAUGCAUUUGCAUGUAUCUUGGAUCCUAGAGCUAAACUUGAAGGGUAUCGUAGUGCACUCAAUGUACCAUCUCUUUCCCUAUGUUUAGAUUAUACUGAUGACUUCGGUAAGGCUCGUGAAAAGCUUUAUGGAGUUUUUGAUAAGUAUGAGCAAAAGUAUGCGGGAGUGCGAAUGCAACGACCUCCACCAGCACCUACUGCAAGUAAAAAGAAAGGAGCGUGGAGCAAGAUCUUUGGUUCUUCAUCCUUCUACCACCGGAAGCUCUUCCACAUCAACACCUAUGAUUCAAGGUGGCAGAGAUGGUGGCAAGAACACAAGCUUACAUAUCCGGUGCUUUCCAUAUUAGCUUGUGAUGUGUUAUCGGUACCCGUCUCUACUGUGUCAUCGGAGUUUGCUUUCAGCCUUGCUGGAAGAAUAAUUGAGGAGAUAGGAAUUAGUCUCACCGCUGAUAUGGUGAGAACUGAUGUUCGUGAAAGAUGGAGAGAUAUCAAGAAAGAUAGCCCAACACACUGCAGAAAACACAGUACUGCUAGCCGCGUUUGGAGAUAUGACUCUCGAAGAAGAUGA